UACGUAGGUGGCGAGCGUUAUCCGGAAUUACUGGGCGUAAAGCGCAAGCAGGCGGCGACCUAAGUCUGACGUGAAAUCUCCUGGCUUAACUGGGAGAGGUCGUUGGAAACUGGGUUGCUUGAGGCGAUGAGAGGGGUGUGGAAUUCCCGGUGUAGUGGUGGAAUGCGUAGAUAUCGGGAGGAACACCAGAGGCGGAAGCGGCACCCUGGCAUUAGCCUGACGCUGAGAUGCGAAAGCGUGGGGAGCAAACGGG
rnacentral:rRNA from 1 species